UUAACAGUGCCUUCAUAAAACUGCUUAUCCAUGGGCCACCAAACCUUUAUUCUGUAACCAAUUAGUUCUUCAAUAUCAACUCCACUUUUUUUUGUUGUGCACUUUGCCAAGCCUGCAAUGCUUCUUCUUUUUCUCUUCUUCAUGCUUCCAGUCUGAAGACUUAAAAUUAUUACUUGCAUUUAUCAUAUCAGUGUCCCCUAACACAACAGACUUCUUCAGAUUAGCAACUUCUUCAACUUCAUUUUCUUUGCUCUUGUGACCCAAAUCAGUGCGUUUGCCUUUGUGUUUUGAUGUGAAGCUUAUAUUCUUUCGCAUGCAUGCUACCAACAAAUCAGACUCGGAGCUUA
rnacentral:misc_RNA from 1 species